CCCUAAAAAGUUUUUUAGACACAAAGG
rnacentral:tRNA from 1 species